rnacentral:rRNA from 1 species
AGUGAACGCUGGCGGUAGGCCUAACACAUGCAAGUCGAACGGCAGCACAGUAAGAUCUUGCUCUUACGGGUGGCGAGUGGCGGACGGGUGAGGAAUACAUCGGAAUCUACUUUUUCGUGGGGGAUAACGUAGGGAAACUUACGCUAAUACCGCAUACGACCUACGGGUGAAAUCAGGGGAUCUUCGGACCUUGCGCGAUUGAAUGAGCCGAUGUCGGAUUAGCUAGUUGGCGGGGUAAAGGCCCACCAAGGCGACGAUCCGUAGCUGGUCUGAGAGGAUGAUCAGCCACACUGGAACUGAGACACGGUCCAGACUCCUACGGGAGGCAGCAGUGGGGAAUAUUGGACAAUGGGCGCAAGCCUGAUCCAGCCAUACCGCGUGGGUGAAGAAGGCCUUCGGGUUGUAAAGCCCUUUUGUUGGGAAAGAAAAGCAGCAGGUUAAUACCCCGCUGUUCUGACGGUACCCAAAGAAUAAGCACCGGCUAACUUCGUG